GAUGAACGCUGGCGGCGUGCCUAAUACAUGCAAGUCGAGCGAACAGACGAGGAGCUUGCUCCUCUGACGUUAGCGGCGGACGGGUGAGUAACACGUGGAUAACCUACCUAUAAGACUGGGAUAACUUCGGGAAACCGGAGCUAAUACCGGAUAAUCUAUUGAACCGCAUGGUUCAAUAGUGAAAGACGGUUUUGCUGUCACGUAUAGAUGGAUCCGCGCCGCAGUAGCUAGUUGGUAAGGUAACGGCUUACCAAGGCAACGAUGCGUAGCCGACCUGAGAGGGUGAUCGGCCACACUGGAACUGAGACACGGUCCAGACUCCUACGGGAGGCAGCAGUAGGGAAUCUUCCGCAAUGGGCGAAAGCUUGACGGAGCAACGCCGCGUGAGUGAUGAAGGUCUUCGGAUCGUAAAACUCUGUUAUUAGGGAAGAACAAAUGUGUAAGUAACUAUGCACGUCUUGACGGUACCUAAUCAGAAAGCCACGGCUAACUACGUG
rnacentral:rRNA from 1 species